rnacentral:rRNA from 1 species
CCUACGGGAGGCAGCAGUCGAGAAUCAUUCACAAUGGGGGAAACCCUGAUGGUGCGACGCCGCGUGGGGGAAUGAAGGUCUUCGGAUUGUAAACCCCUGUCAUGUGGGAGCAAAUUAAAAAGAUAGUACCACAAGAGGAAGAGACGGCUAACUCUGUGUCAGCAGCCGCGGUAAUACCGAGGUCUCAAGCGGUGUUCGUAAUCACUGGGCGUAAAGCGUGCGUAGGCUGUUUCGUAAGUCGUGUGUGAAAGGCGCGGGCUCAACCCGCGGACGGCACAUGAUACUGCGAGACUAGAGUAGUGGAGGGGGAACCGGAAUUCUCGGUGUAGCAGUGAAAUGCGUAGAUAUCGAGAGGAACACUCGUGGCGAAGGCGGGUUCCUGGACAUUAACUGACGCUGAGGCACGAAGGCCAGGGGAGCGAAAGGGAUUAGAUACCCCAGUAGUC